UUUUUUUUUUUUUUUUUUUAUUGACAGGCAGAGUGGACAGUGAGAGAGAGAGACAGAGAGAAAGGUCUUCCUUUUGCUGUUGGUUCACCCUCCAAUGGCUGCUGCAGCCGGCGCACCACGCUGAUGCAGGAGCCAGGUGCUUCUCCUGGUCUCCCAUGGGGUGCAGGGCCCAAGCACUUGGGCCAUCCUCCACUGCACUCCCGGGCCACAGCAGAGAGCUGGCCUGGAAGAGGGGCACCCGGGACAGAAUCCGGCACCCCGACCGGGACUAGAACCCGAUGUGCCGGCACCACAAGGUGGAGGAUUAGCCUAGUGAGCCGCGGCGCCAGCCAGAAUUUCUUGAUUUUAUCUUUGUAUCAUCUUCCAAACAUCUUGAGAGAUUGCACCAAGAGAAAUUGCUUAUAAGUAGAACUUCAGAGCAGGCAUUUGGUGCAGCAGUAGAAGAUGGCACUUGGGGUGCUCACCUGCCGUGUGGGAGAGCCUGGGUUCAAGUCCAGGCCUCAAUGCUGACUCCAGCUCCCUGCCAGUGCACGCCGAGGGAGGCAGCGGGUGAUGACCCAGGUCCUUGGGUCCCUGCUGCCCAUGUGGGAGACCUCGAUGGAGCUCCAGGCUCCUGCCUGCAGCCUAGCCCAGCCCUGGCUAUCGCAGGCUUCUGGGAGUGAACCAGUGGAUGCCGGUACUCUCGCUGCAGGCACACACUCUCUUGCUCUCUCUCAAAUAUUUUUUUAUUUUUUUUUUGGAAAGAGUAGCCCAUCCUUUGGACUACAUGUAGUAGUGAAAUGUUCACUAUAGAAAAAUACAAAUAGGGCCCUCCAUGAUUGCGAAGUGAUUUUCAAGUUGUUUCCUGUUCAAAGAGAUGUGCUCUGGCUUGCUUUUUAAAAUUUUUUUUAUUUUAUAAAGAUUUAUUUAAGAUUUAUUUAUUUGAGAGUUAGAGUUAUAGACAGAGGAAGAGACAGAGAGAAAGGUUUUCCAUCUGCUAAUUCACUCCUCAAAUGGCCGCAAUAGCCAGGGCUGGGCAAAUCCAAAGCCAGGAGCUUCUUCCAGGUCUCCCAUGAGGAUGCAGGGGCCCAAGGACUUGGGUCAUCUUCUACUGCUUUCCCAGGCCAUAGCAGGGAGCUGGAUUGGAAGUGGAACAGCUGGGACCCGAAGUGGUGCCCAAAUGGAAUGCCGGCACUGCAGGUGAUGGCUUUACCGGCUAUGCCACAGCGCUGGCCCAUCCGGCUUGCUUUUGAGGAUAGAGCCAUCCCAAGUCCUGUCCAUAGCAGGGCCUGGUGUGGCUGUGUUCUCUCUCUGUAGCCUGGCUGGGCAGGACGUGUGGGGCAGACAUCAGGCACACUGUAGGACCGCUGAGUCCAGUACUCCUGGUCAGUGGGGCCAGGGCAGGCGGUGUGAAUCCGAUCAACACAGAUCUGCCCCGGAAGAAACAACAGUGUUUCCUCCGGCAAGAUUUGUGUAUUUUGGCUGGCACCGUGGCUCACUAGGCUAGUCCUCCACCUGCGGCGCCGGCACACCAGGUUCUAGUCCCGGUGGGGGCACCAGAUUCUGUCCCGGCUGCUCCUCUUCCAGUCCAGCUCUCUGCUGUGGCCCGGGAGUGCAGUGGAGGAUGGCCCAAGUGCUUGGACCCUGCACCCCAUGGGAGACCAGGAGAAGCACCUGGCUCCUGGCUUCAGAUCGGUGCAUCGCGCAGGCCGUAGCGGCCAUUUGGGGGGUGAACCAAUGGAAGGAAGACCUUUCUCUCUGUCUCUCUCUAACUCUGCCUGUCAAAAAAAAAUUGUGUAUUUUGAAAGAGUUUCUCAGAAAAGGCUUUUUAUCCUAUGAAAGAGAGAGAGAAAGAUCUUCUGUCCCCUGGUUUACUCCCCAGAUGGGCACAAUGACCAGCACUGGGAUAGGCCAAAACCAGGAGCCAGGAGCUUCUUCCGGGUCUCCCAUGUGGGUGCAGGGGCCCAAGGACUUGGGCCAUCUUCCGCUGCUUCCCCAGGUGACAGCAGAGAGCUGGAUCAGAAGCAGAGCAGCCAGGACUCAACCCGGUACUCCUAUGGGACGCCCAUGUCGCGGGCGGCAGCUUAACCCACUGUGCCACAGUGCCAGCCUCCUGGUACCACUUUUCCAGCCCCAGUUCUCCAUUGUGAUUCCCUGUGUUCAGUGGAGAUGCCAGCAUAGAAGCUUGGUGGCCUGACAGUCCAAUUCAGAACCAGAUGGUUCUGCCAUGAGCAAUAUGCUGACGUUUCUUUUUUUUUCUCUAAUUUUCUUCAUUUUAUUUGAAAGGCAGAAACAGAGAGAGUUCCUGUCUGUUGGUUCACUCCCUGAAUGUCAGCAACAGUCAGGUCUGGGCGAGGCCUAAGCCAGGAGGGAGGGGCUCCAUUUGGGGCUCCCACAUGGCUGGCAGGGACCCCAGUACUUGAGCCAUCCCUGUUGCCUCCCAGGGUGUGAAUUAGCCAGAGGCUGGGCAUCUCAUUCAGUGUCUCACCUGCCACAGCAAAUGCCCACCCCCAGGCUUUGGCGAGAGCCUUGCUGCUGCCUCCUUGGUCUCUGUUUUGCAUGCUUUAGUGGCCUCCUGGAUGUACCAGAGGACGAGAUCUGUGAAUGUGUGCAGUGAUCCACUCGCAGAACAAUCUUGGGGCCAGCGUUGUGACGUGGCGGGUUAAGUCACUGCCUGCGACACCGGCAUCCCCACAGGGGAACUGGUUCAGGGCCCAGCCGCUCUGCUUCCAAUCCAGCACCCUGUUCACAGCCCAGUGGGAGACCUGGACGAAGCUCCUGGCCCCUGCCUGGCCUAGCACUGGUGGUUGCGGCCAUCUGGGGAGUGAACCAGCAGAUGGAAGACCUCUCUCCGUCUCUGUCUCUCCCUCUCUCUCGUCUAUACAAGCCCUCAGAACGAGCUGCUUUAUCAUUGCCAACCGAUAUUUUUCUCCCUCUCCACCACAGGCAUUUUCCACAGCGUGUAUCUGCAUUCGUCUUCCAUUUUGUUCAUGUAUAUUUUUUUAUAUUUGGUCUUCUGGUCCUCUAAGGUGUGGUCAUCCUGAGUUAAUAAUCACUGUGGGCUCUAAGUCACAGUGUACACGGCCAGGCCCAAUGCAAUCCUGAUAGCUCUCUUGUACGCUUCCUCUGCCUAAUACUUCUCCCGUGUGUGUGUGUGUGUGUGUGUGUGUGUGUGUGUGUGUGUGUGGACACCCCCAGGGGUAAGUUAAGGCUUGCUUCUCCUAGCCUGUCUUUUCCGUACUGAUCGGUUUUUCUCACAUGGAUUAGAAUGGCUGAGUGGAUGCAUUUAGGGACCCUGUGCUGACACGGUGCCGGCAAGUAGGAUUUAGACAGGGAGAAUCUGAGCAAAGGAAAGAAUGGUGAACUACUGUGGGGUAGACAGGGGUUUUAUACCUUGAACCUGAAUGAUUGCAGCAAGUGACGGAGCCGGGGAGAUUGGCAGUGUCUGGAGGUAGCCCCGGUGGCUCCUGCUUCAAGGUGGCGUCUAAACUGGAAGUUCUCGGUGAUUCUAGAGAGGGACCGUGUGGUUGCGUUUCUUAGUUGUGACGAAGACACGAAAAGGCCAUGUGCAGAACAGGUCAUGGGCAAGGUGCCCUGCCAGCUCCAACGAGGCUGUCCCUUCUGCUGACCGACAGGAGACAUUCACACGUUUUGUUUCUUACAGCGGAACCUGAGCCUCGCUGCGUCUGGACCGGGUUGCAAGGGGCAAGGGGAAGAAUGCCGGCAGGGAAGUCACGCUCCGCCGUUGCUUCUCCUCCUUCUGCCGGCCCUGGCUCGCUUCAGGCCGUCGGGUUCAGUAACCCACGUGUGACUCCGAGAGCCAAAUCGUCCGCAGAGCCAGCUCCCAGGCUGCUGUGUGGGGAGCGCGUGGGCUGACGGGCUGUUUGGAAGACCAGAAGCACGUUCAUAUCAGGAAAGGAAACAAAGCGUGCCCGAGAGAUGGUAAGGCUCCCUGGAGGCAGUGUCUCAGACCUCGAAGCCCACAUUGCGGACUUGCUCAAGAGUUGACUGCUAGGAGGCAGCAGCAAAUAAAUAAAUAAACGAGAGCUGCUCUCUAAAUAUAGCCUGACACAGCUCCACUUAGACCAUUCCCCGGGGGCCCAGGCCAGGCCCAGGAGCAGGCUCUUCAUUCCACAAGACCUAAACCCCGACACCCGGCUGAUACAUGACCCAUGGGUACUGCUGGUGCCCAAGGACCUGUCGGAGGAUGCCAUGGAGCUCGUCCAUUGCCGCGGCCGGGAUGCAACCCUCACGCGCAGAGGACCGCGCACAAACGCAAGGCUUAUGCUGAAAACAGACUAAGGCAGGUGCAGCCCCUCUCCUGCUGGGAGUUCAAGGUCCAUGGAGACUGUCGGACCAGGAGAAGACUGGCCGAGGGACCUGACUGUACUUGCCGAAGGCAAGACAGAAACGUCGGAGACCUGUGGGUGAUGUGGAUGCUGGCACAGCGUGGAGACAGAAGACGGUGCCCUGGCCAGCACUGCUCUUGUCUGUGCUACAGGAUCAGGCCAUCCUGACACAGAGUGUGCACACAGCUCGGGAGCCUCCUGGUCAGCUGGGAAGUCCAGAAAGAUCGACCACACCCAGAAAAGGACAGUUGCUAAAACGUGCCGGGAAGCCAACCUGGCUUGGGAUAAGGUGUGGCCGGUGGUGCCGCUCAACCCCACGGGGAGUUGGAGGGUUGAGCAAGGGUUGUCCAGCUCCUUACCCUGCACACUGAAGAAUAAACUCCUACCGUCUUCUA